rnacentral:rRNA from 1 species
UACGUAGGUGGCAAGCGUUGUCCGGAUUUACUGGGCGUAAAGAGCGCGCAGGCGGUCGUUCAAGUCGCGUGUGAAAGCCCCCGGCUCAACUGGGGAGGGUCACGCGAUACUGAUCGACUCGAAGGCAGGAGAGGGAAGUGGAAUUCCCGGUGUAGUGGUGAAAUGCGUAGAUAUCGGGAGGAACACCAGUGGCGAAGGCGACUUCCUGGCCUGUUCUUGACGCUGAGGCGCGAAGGCCAGGGGAGCAAACGGG